CGUGGGGAACCGUGCCCCACUAGUCUGGGAUACCACUUGGAAACAGGUGCUAAUACCGGAUAAGAAAGCGGAUCGCAUGAUCAGCUUUUAAAAGGCGGCGUAAGCUGUCGCUAUGGGAUGGCCCCGCGGUGCAUUAGCUAGUUGGUAAGGUAAAGGCUUACCAAGGCGAUGAUGCAUAGCCGAGUUGAGAGACUGAUCGGCCACAUUGGGACUGAGACACGGCCCAAACUCCUACGGGAGGCAGCAGCC
rnacentral:rRNA from 1 species